CACACACACACACACACACAUAUAUAUAUAAUGGGAUAUUAUAUAUAUUGGGACAUAUAAUGGGAUAUUACUCAGCCAUCAAAAAGAAUGAAAUCUUGCCAUUUACAAGAACAUGAAUGGAACUAGAGUGUAUUAUGCUAAGCAACACAUAUCAGUCAAAGAAAGACAAAUACCAUAUUUCAUUAUUGUGUGGAAUUUAAUAAACAAAACAUAUGAGCGCAUGAGAAAGUCAGGGGAGAGAAGAGAGAGAAACAAAGUACAAGAGACUCUCAACAAUAGAGAACAAACUGAGGGUUAUUGGACAAGGAUGACUGGGGAUGGGCUAGAUGGGUGAUGGGUGUAUUAAGGAGGGCACUUGUAAUGAGCACUGGGUGUUGUAAGUAAGGGAUGAAUCACUGAAUUCUACUCAUGAAAUCAAUAUUGCACUGGCUGUUAACUAACUAGAAUUGAAAUAAAAAUUUGAAAGAGGAAAAAAAGAUGAAAGGCUUUCUAAUGAAAAACUGUAAAUUAGAGAUUAUUAAACCCUGGGACAUUGUGAUAGUUAAUUUUGUGUCAACUUGGCUAGGCCAUAGUACCUAGAUAUUUAGUCAAACAUUAUUCUAGGUGUUUCCUGAAGUUAUUUUUAAGUGAAAUUAACAUUUAAAUUAGUGGACUUUGAACAAAGCAGGUUUUCCUCUGUAAUGUGGGUUACCAACUCUUCCCUCAGUCUCCAGCCUGCCCCUCCUACUGUGCAAAUCUCGGACAAGCCAACCUCCGCAAUUGCUUGAGCCACUUCUCUCUCUCAUCUCCUCUUGGUUCUGUUUCUGUAGCUGAUUAAGACAUUCACGGUUCCAUUUUUUACAAACAUCUUUUCUAGUCUUUAUGGCUAGAUUUUGGGGGUAAUUUUGGGGGGUGGUGUGUAUUGUCACUAACUGCAUACGUAUAAUUGUGUAUUCUUUUAUU